rnacentral:rRNA from 1 species
AUGCUCAGCGAGUCUUUGUGUGAGGUCUUUGUGUGGGAUCCCCUCAACGGCCAGCAGCACCGCGUGCCUUUUCCAUCGGAGCUCCGCGACACCGAAAGGGAGAGCUUCUGUAGGUGCAGCGCCACGGUGAUGUGUGCUGACGAUCAAGACAGGCAUGUGCACGACGAUUGCUUCUUGAGCCCCGCCUUCAAAGUGGUCUUAAUCUGCACCAGUAGAGACUUGAAGACAUCACUCGCUUGUGUCUAUGAUUCGGCGUCGGGUGUAUGGGGGAAUAUUGUCUCAACGUCGACUACAGAUAUGGUUCUGAAACUAAGGCCCGGCAUCCUCAUCGGGGAAACAGUUUACUGGUUGUUUCAUGGACGCGAAAUCCUUGCAUUUGAUACUGAAAGGCAUACUCUUUGUGUCAUCGAGAAUUCGAGAUGCCGGUAG